ACCAAAACUCACACUUAGCCUUUAUCUCGAUCCCCUUCUAGAAACCCUGUCACCAUCGAAGAAACCCUCCAAAGCUCACCGUCACGAAGAAACCCUCUUGCUACAGAAACCAUCUCACUCAUCACUAACCGUCGCUCCUCUUCGCCCUCCUCCUUGUCGUCGCGCUGCCCUCACCAUCCUCAUCUUUGCGCUUCUCAUCGUCCUUCCCCUUUCAAUCCGAUCGAGUAACCCUCAUCUCUGCGCUAUAUACUGAGCUUAAUGAAAAUUUUUUCUUUGAUUCGUCACCAAUUCACGCUACCUGCACAAACUCGCGCGCCUUCUCCUUCGAUUCAUUGCCGCUGCUCAUCUCUUCUUCAAGGGUUUUCACCUUCGAUUUGUCGUCGCUCAUCUCUUCUUCACCGUUGCCAUUCAUCACCGCGCUCACCAAAAACUGUGUGCUCUCUAGCGACCUCUUCUCUGCUCUACUAUGAAGCAUCAAGGUUUCCAAUGAGGCAAAGCAUCGAUCCCUAACAAGCGAGUAUUCUGCUUCAAUUUCUGUCGUGCUGUCUGACUCAACUAGCGCAAGCUGAAUGGAUCUUGUGUUUGUCGGUCUUCUUCCUUCUCUAUUUUCUUUUUUUUUGUCCUUUUCAUUUUCUCGUUGAGGAAGAACUUGAUUUUCCAAAGAGUGAAGGAUCUUUAGCUGGUAGCAUUAACAUUCUUUCCCCUGCUGGUUGCUGCAUUGGAUUGCUAUUCUUUUUGCUUUUCCUCCAAAUCUGACCCCGAGUUCCUCAAGUUGAAUCCUCUUGCUUUAAUUCCUAUUCUGGUGGAUGGCGAUUUUAUUCUUGCUGAAUCCUUAGCCAUUAUUAUGUAUUUGGACGAUAAGUAUCCUCAAUACCCUUUGCUGCCUCAUGACGUUCCCAAAAGAGCACUCAAUUUUCAGG